GCACGGGUGAGUAAACACGUAUGCAACUUGCCCCUGUCAGGGGGACAACCCGCCGAAAGGCGGGCUAAACCCGCGUACAUGCCACCGGGGCAUCCCGGAGGCAGGAAAGGCUUCGGCCGGACAGGGAUGGGCAUGCGGCGCAUUAGGCAGUAGGCGGGGUAACGGCCCACCUAACCGACGAUGCGUAGGGGUUCUGAGAGGAAGGUCCCCCACACUGGUACUGAGACACGGACCAGACUCCUACGGGAGGCAGCAGUGAGGAAUAUUGGUCAAUGGUCGGGAGACUGAACCAGCCAAGCCGCGUGAGGGAGGAAGGUACAGAGUAUCGUAAACCUCUUUUGUCAGGGAACAAAGGCGGGGACGUGUCCCCGGAUGAGUGUACCUGAAGAAAAAGCAUCGGCUAACUCCGUGCCAGCAGCCGCGGUAAUACGGAGGAUGCGAGCGUUAUCCGGAUUUAUUGGGUUUAAAGGGUGCGCAGGCGGUCUGUUAAGUCAGCGGUCAAAGCCCGGGGCUCAACCCCGGCCCGCCGUUGAAACUGGCAGUCUCGAGUUGGAGAGAAGUAUGCGGAAUGCGCGGUGUAGCGGUGAAAUGCAUAGAUAUCGCGCAGAACUCCGAUUGCGAAGGCAGCAUGCCGGCUCCACACUGACGCUGAGGCACGAAAGCGUGGGUAUCCAACAAGAUUAGAUNCCCUGGUAGUCCAGCAAGUAAACGAUGAAUGCUGGCUGUCAGAGGGGGACUGACCCCUGGGUGGCGAAGCGAAACGAAUAAGCAUUCCCCCUGGGGGAGUACGCCGGCAACGGUGAAACUCAAAGGAAUUGACGGGGGCCCGCACAAGCGGAGGAACAUGUGGUUUUAAUUGGAUGAUACGCAAGGAACCUUACCCGGGCUCAAACGGGGAGUGGCGCAGGCAGAGACGCCUGUUUCCCACGGGACACUCCCCGAGGUGCUGCAUGGUUGUCGUCAGCUCGUGCCGUGAGGUGUCGGCUUAAGUGCCAUAACGAGCGCAACCCCCGCGUGCAGUUGCUAACAGUCAACGCUGAGGACUCUGCACGGACUGCCGGCGCAAGCCGCGAGGAAGGCGGGGAUGACGUCAAAUCAGCACGGCCCUUACGUCCGGGGCGACACACGUGUUACAAUGGGUGGUACAGCGGGAAGCCAGGCGGCGACGCCGAGCGGAACCCGAAAUCCACUCUCAGUUCGGAUCGGAGUCUGCAACCCGACUCCGUGAAGCUGGAUUCGCUAGUAAUCGCGCAUCAGCCAUGGCGCGGUGAAUACGUUCCCGGGCCUUGCCCACA
rnacentral:rRNA from 1 species